AAUUAUAAUCCGAUCCCUUGCUGCGCGCGCGAGUUUCCCGAUAGGAGUGGUCCAACAAUUAGAAAAUAGUUUUCCUCAAGUCUAUAUUUUGAUUUUCCGAUUUUCCCUUUAUCCUUUUUGGUAAAAUUUAUUGCACUCCGGAGCACUCUAGUGUCAAAAGAGGCUGUUGGUUUGUAUUACAGAUGAAUCUGUUCAAGUACAACCAUUUGAGGAAAAUGGUUAUUUGGCUAGAAUAGAUUUCAAUCCUACAGUUCCCUAUUGUUCACUUGCCAGCCUUAUUGGCCUCUGGCUGAGGCAAGAUUCAGAAAAAUGUGGUGGGAAGGAUCAAAUUGGACAUAGUUAUUGCAGAGGGUAAACACAGCACAGAAGAAGAGAUCAAUAAACAAAUCAACGAUAAGGAAAGAGUCGCCGCCGCCUAAGAGAAUCUUAACUUAAAAGAAAUGUUCGAUAGUUGCAUAAGAGAUGAAGAAUAAGAAUUUUUUUGAGAAGAAAAAAAUAAAAGACAAUAAAUUUCCUCAGAGUAUUUUGUAUUCCAUUCCAUGAGAUCAACUCACAAGUAUGAAAGGCACUGCAAAGGCACUGCAGAGACAAUUUCAUCGCACAUAUACACUCUGGAUUGAUUUUAGUAUAAGACUAGAACAAUUACCAAAAAGCUCCCUGGUAAAUUUAUAAAUAAAGCAAGUGUUAUCUCUGGUAAGAAGAAAAGCAUAACCAAAAGCGACAAGCAAGUUUGUUUCGUGAAAGACUUGUAAACUUAAAAAAAGAUCAAAAUUUCUCAAAAACGAGACAA
rnacentral:lncRNA from 1 species